rnacentral:rRNA from 1 species
GAUGAACGCUGGCGGCGUGCUUAACACAUGCAAGUCGAACGGUGAAGGCGGAGCUUGCUCUGCUGGAUCAGUGGCGAACGGGUGAGUAACACGUGAGCAAUCUGCCCCUGACUCUGGGAUAAGCGCUGGAAACGGCGUCUAAUACUGGAUACGAGCUGCGAAGGCAUCUUCAGCAGUUGGAAAGAACUUCGGUCAGGGAUGAGCUCGCGGCCUAUCAGCUUGUUGGUGAGGUAACGGCUCACCAAGGCGUCGACGGGUAGCCGGCCUGAGAGGGUGACCGGCCACAAUGGGACUGAGACACGGCCCAGACUCCUACGGGAGGCAGCAGUGGGGAAUAUUGCACAAUGGGCGAAAGCCUGAUGCAGCAACGCCGCGUGAGGGACGACGGCCUUCGGGUUGUAAACCUCUUUUAGCAGGGAAGAAGCGAAAGUGACGGUACCUGCAGAAAAAGCGCCGGCUAACUACGUG